ensembl:snRNA U2 U2 spliceosomal RNA
AUCCCUCCUCAGCCUUUUGGCUAAUAUCAAGUUUAGUAUCUGUUCUUAUCAGUUUAAUAUCUGACACACCCUCUAACCGAGGACAAUAUAUUACCUGGACUUUUGGAACUAGGAGAUGGAAUAGGAGCUUGCUCCAUCCACUCUAAGCAUUGACCUGGUAUUGUAGUAUCUCGAGGAAUGGUGCACCCCCU